AAUAAUUUCAGCCUGCUGUAUCAGUAAUCUUGUUUAACAUCAAAGUUCCUCUCCUCCUGACAGAACAAUAAAACUGGGCUUAUUAAGUCAGCACAGCCCAUGCCUCUCCCCAGGUAACUUGGGGAUACGUAGAAAGCAUGUAAGUACAUGGGGUCAAAAGGUCACUGUUUGGUAAACUGAGUAGGUAUUUCCUAAUUUAUGAACAGAUAGUUUUGAGCUGGUAAAGUAUGUAGUUAAGACCUAAGCGCAUCUUUUAGGAAGCAAUCCAACAAGACAGGCACAAGUAGUACUUGGUAGACUACACUGUAGUAACAAAAUUAAAGAGGAGACAGCACAUUUAUGACAAAUUUGAUGUCCACUCAUCUUUGACUUUGCUGAGAUUAGGGACAGAGUCGUUUACAUUUCUCUGUCCCCUAUAUCCUAGCUUGGAUUUUUUAUGAUAACUUUAAAUGUCUCAAUUUAAAACCUGUGAAUUGAUGUGUGGCCCUCCAAAUAUAAAGAACAGCUUCUGAGUGUUUUAAGCCAAAUGCUUACUUUAAUGAUGCAAUCAAUUCUAGGCUAGGUUAGAGCUAUAUAAUGUAGAAAGUUCAGAGAAACAAAAUAUCCAUGUUUUAAAAAUUAUAAUGAGUUAUAUAUUUUAAGUGGUUUCUCUGGCAAUUGCUCAAGGAUCUGGGAGCCGUAUUAUAAAAUGUUCAUAUACAUAAAUAAAUAUAGACAAGACACCCCAACUAGGUAGGGAAGGUUAGCUCAGAUCUUGACGGGCUCUGGGGAAAACAAACAUAGAUGAUGAUGAUUUUAGACAAAUGGAAAGGAUCGAUGCUUUAUGUGGAAGUAAGCAUAGCUAACUCUGUGUAAGUACACGGAAAUAGAAAUUGCUUCCAGAGAGGUUUGGGAAAAUUCUCAUCUGAGAGAAAGAGGUCUUUGUGCACCUCGGAUAAGUGUACCCUCAUCAUGCACUCUGAAAUUUCCCUAUAAUAUAAUGAGACCUUACUGGUUUGUCAGACCAACCAUCCUCCCGCAUGGGUCAUUGCCUCGCCCCUCCCAGGGCGCCCCAUCAUCUAACCCACCCAGGAGAAUUCCUUUAAAAAAAAAAAACAAUUUCUAGAAAUUCAUUUGCUAAUAUCACAAACUCUGGAAACAGAACAAAGGGCUUUUGCCCAUUAUUUGUCACAUCCUUGCCGUUGUAACGACGACCUGUGCCCUCGCGCUGCCUGGGAAACAGAAAUAGAACACGGAUGCUACGGAGGGUUGUUUACUUCCACAUUUUCAUUUUUGCCGAAAGGGCUCCCAUGGGCAUCGUUGUGCCAACAGUGUGACUCUCUUCUCACUGUUAUGCAGCCUUCCUUCUGGCUUUCCCCAUGACCCCCCUCCUAAUUUACUCAGAUGAUGGCCACCAAUGGGACACUUCUUUUGUGUGGCUGGGAUGACAGAUGGCGGAGCUUCCGCUGAGACUGGCAUUAAUAGGACUCAGAGGAGACUAGAGACUUAUUUGAGAGGCCAUGCCAUCUUGCCUCCAGAGACUUUGUCCAUCACACAUUUUAAUCCAUCUAUGCACACAUUAUAGGUAAGGGGAAACGGGGCAGGGGACAGAAUCCUAUAAUGCCUUUAGCAUUCACUUUAUGAACAAUGGGCUCGGGCCAAAGGUAACAAUGUGACUUCCUCACUAACCAUUGUCUUCUUUGCUGCUGACAUACAAUUCCAAGAAAAAAUGUAUUUUAACACAUGCUUGGAUAGAGAUGAUUAUUUUAAUAAGCAGUACCCCAGCUUAUAAAAUGAAAGCUCCUAAAUAUUGCAGCAAACCAUCUGUCAAGGGGGAUCCAGAUGAGCUAAACAGAUGCAAUAAUUCAAGUUAUUUUUGACAUGCAUAAAUAAAGCUAGCUUAGAAUCAGCAUCAAAAAUUACUCUAUUCCUAAAUGCUUUUAAAAUGUCAAUGGGAAUUCAUCAGUGUCAGAAAAUCCUGUACAUAAGAGUACUUCCUUAGGAGCCAGCGCUUUCCAUUCUUAGCUUUCGUCUUGCUGGGAACUCAGGGAUUAGAGGUAAAGGCAGAAAACUUACAGCAGUGGAUACUUGGUGAGAAAACUCUCCCAGGCUGCCUGACAUUGGGAUUAAAGAGGAAACAAAGGCUGUGGGUGAACAGAACUGCUAGUGUCAAGUCCAAAACAGCAAAGGUUGUGCUCCGCAUACUAUGUGGUUACAGUGCCUCGGAUGCCUGGCAUCUCCUCAUUAGUUGGAUUUUUACAGCUACGUUUCUGAUAGGUUCCAUUGCUAUGCCCAUGGAAGAUACAUGCAAGCAAGCCCUAGGAGGAACCAGAUGAGCUCCAUUUCGGCAGAGUUAGAGUCUAUGCAUCAGGCCUUUGUUCCCCGUUACCUCAGGACACACUUGAUGUCUUACCUAGCUCAUAGGUAAUAUAAUAACUAGGGCCCAGGAGAAACUCACUGCCUUAACUGUCCUCAAAGAGAUUCUUCUAGUAUGAAGCAAACACAGGCAAAUAAUGCAACCGAGGAAUUGACUGGGCGGUCUGCAAGGUCCCUUUCUAUCCCUGGCUCCAGUUUCCUUCAUGGUUACUCUGCCAGUCAUAAUCCACAUUGAGUGAUGUUAUAGUUUGUACCUUAAACUUCUACUGGCCACACCAUUUCUCCAAAGCUUACAUGGUGCUAAUUAGCUUUUGUUAACAGUUGCGGAAGUGUUACAGUUUCAUUUCUGUUGCUAUGAUAAAAUAACCUGGUAAGAGGCAACGCACGGUGUAUUCAGCUCAGUAUUGCAGGUUAUAACCCAUCAUUAUGGGGAAAGCACAAUGGCAGGAGGUUAAGGUCUACCACAAUCACAGUCAAGAGGAGAGAGGAACAACCAGGUCCACGCAGCCUGCAUGCUUAUGCUACAUUGCUACUUUCCUUUACUCUUUCCUUUAUAGUUCAGGCCUAUGGACUAGUACUGCUCACAGUGGGCUGUAUUUUCUAAUAUCAACCAAUAAUCAAGAACAUUCCUGGUAGGUAUGCUAAUGGGUCAACAUGAUCUUAAUAAUUCUUUAAGUCUUUCUUCCCAGGUGAUUUUCUGGGUUGUGUCAAGUUGACAGUAAAAGCUCAAAACACAGCAUCCCUUGCUAACUUAACAUACAGACACAUCACUUUUUAAACUAUAGUCUUCCUAAGAUCUCAUAUUUAUCUCAUAAUAUAAAAUACUAUCCUUCUUGGUUAUUUUUCUGCUAGUGUGAUAAGAUACCACAAUUCAAUAUGACUUGCAGACAGAAGGCAGAGUUUACUUUUUCUUGUGGUUUCAGAGUGGAGCAGAAUUCAUCAUCUAAGAAAACAUGGCAGAAAGCUCCUGGAAUGAAAGCCGAAAGGUUCCGUCUUUGACAGCAAGCAUCAACAGCAAGAAUCCCAGCAUGAACUGGAUGUAGGGAGAGGCUAUAUACUCUCAGAGCCUUCCCCAACUACAUACUUCUUACAGCAAAGCCAACCCUCCUGAACUUUCUGAAGCAACACCUACUUGGAAAUAAGUGUUCAAAUACCCAAGCCUAUGGGAGACAUUCAAGCCACUACAUUCCACACCAUGGCCCCCCAUAGUGUCCACACUAUAUCACAAUCAAAACACACUCAGUUUGACUUCAAAAGUCCCCCUAGCCUUUCAUAGUCUCAACAAAGUUUCCAAGUCCAAAGUCUACUGAGAUUCAAUGUAAUUUCUUAGCUGUAAUCAUUGGAAAAGCAAAAAGCAAAUUGCAUACUUCUAACACGUGAUGAAACAGAAUAGACAAUACCAUACCAAAGCAAAGAUUCGGGGUAGAGUUGAGAAAUAUUGGAGAUUGAGGGUAUAGUUGAGAAAUAUUGGACCAAAGCAAGACCAAAUAUCAGCAGGGCAAAAACUAAAUCCAGUAGCUCAAUAUUUAGUAUUGAGGGCUUUGAUGGCUCUGUCCUGUGGCUUUGCUGCCUGAAAUAUAUGCCUCUCUCUAGCCUGGGAUCCACUCUCUGUAUGCAGUUCUUCUUGGCAGAUGCCUCGUGACCCCUGGAAAAUGCUAACGUCUUGUGGUCUCCAUUGCAAACCAGAAGCUUUCACAGACAAUAGAAUGAUCUUUCAGAGCCUUUAUGAAGAGACUCCCCCACCACAGGCAGCCCCAAACUCAGUGGCUCUCUGAAAACAAAUUAGAAUCCAUGACCCCUCCACUCCUGCAUCCUCCAUGCUUCUAAAUACUUUAUCAUGGAAUGACUCCACCAAGUUUGGCUGCCAUCUUGGGAUGACGGUGCCACUUUGAGUCACAUUAGCAGCAGCUUGUGCUUGCAGUUGCUUCCUAGGAAUAAAAAGCUCCUUAGAAGUUUCACGAUCUGGAAGUUUAGCUAGGUGGGGGUCCUGCACAAAAGGCACCUUCAGCAAUAGCUCAUUCUCCAGCAUCAACUUCCAAAUUUGUUAUAGCCUUAGUUAGGGUUUCUAUUGCUGUGUUGAAACACCAGGACCAAAAGCAACUUGGCGAGAAAAGGGAUUAUUUGGCUUAUUAUACCAUAUCACUGUUCAUUAUGAGUGGAGGUCAAGGCAGGAACUCCAAGAGGGCAGGAAUCCAGGGGCAGAAGCUGAUAUGGAGGCCAUGAAGUAGUGUUGUUGACUGGCUUGCCCAGCCAGCUUUCUUAUAGAACCCAGAACCACCAGCCCGGAGUGGACUCAACCCUCAGUGAGCUGGCUGGGUCUUCCCAUAUCAGUUACUAAUUGAGAAAAUGCUCCACAGGCUUGCCUACAUUCUAGUCUUAUGGAAGCAUCCCCUCCAAUGAGGUCCCUGCCACGCAAGUAAUUCUACCGUGUGCCAGCUUGACAUAAAAACUAUCCAGGGCAAAAACUUUGCAUUGCUGUGAGAAAACAUCACGACUCAAAAACUCACUGAAGAGUUUAUUCUGGCUUACAGGUCAGAAGGGAAAGAGUCCGUCCUUGUGGUGAAACAGUAAUAAAGAGCAGCCAUGGCAACGGGAAGAGGAAACUGAAAGAUCACAUCUUUAACAGCAGGCAUACAGUAGACAGGGAACUAGAGGUAAAAUGAGGCCAUGUACUCUUAAAACCCCUCCCCCAGGGACAUACUUUUUCCAGCAUGGCCACACCUCCUAAGUCUUUCCAAUCAGUCCUAAUUGGGGACCAAUUAUUAAAAUAUCCAAGCAUUAAGGGCAUACUUCUAACUCAACCCAUACAUAGUCCAACUUUUUAAAAGUCCCCAGUGUCUUUGCAAAUCACAACGUUUUAAGUCCAGUGUAUUCUAACAAAAUAAAAGCAAGCAUUAUUAUGCCAAAAGGAAGGACCAGGGCAUAACAAUAAUCACAUCAAAGUAAACUCAAAAUCUAACAGUGUAAGUCCAAAUCCUGUAGCUCGACAUCCAACAUCUGGAACUCACUCCUAGUGUAAUCCUCCAGGCUCCAAAGGGCUUGGGAAGCCCCACCUCUCCAGCCCUGCUCUCCACAGCACACACAGCAUCCUUCUUAUCUAAGAUACAAGAAAUUCUACCUAUAGACAAUGUUCUUCAGCAGCAGUAUCUGGCUGAGCAUGGGCUUCAGCCUGCCAGCCCGGGAUUGACUUGUGUUUGUGGGAAAAUGGAUCCCAGAUUCUGCCCCAAAGCUCAAGUACACAGAUGCUGGUGUAUGGCUAAUGGAUUUACUUUUCUAAACAAUCUUUCCAGAAUAUUCUCACAUCGGCUGUUUGAGAAACGCUAUGGAGACAGUCUUAAAACACACCAUGGAUCUCAAUAUUUUUGAUCCAGGUUUUCCCUGGAAGCACUUGACUUGCAAACUGUAAUCAAGUAAAAGAACAACUGCUUCUCCAAAGACUAGCUCUUUCUCCAUAGCAGCCUCCCCCUUCUCUCUCUCUCUCUCUCUCUCUCUCUCUCUCUCUCUCUCUCUCUCUCUCUCUCUCUCUCUCUCCCUCUCUCUCUCUCUCUCAGUGGAUUAGCAGGAGCUGGAGAGGGAUGGAAACACAAACUUGAACACAAAGGUUUGGCUUUUCUCAAGACCUGUAGCCAUUUUUCUGAAGAAUUCUAAUAGCAGACACGGAUACAUCCAGCCACACCGGAAACAUCACAACUGUCCUAAUUCCAGUUCCACUUUACCACCAGGCCCUCUCUCUUUUAAUUUAACCACCAGACUGUUCAAAGGCUUCUCACUGGACUCAGGCAGCGAUGGUUUGCACGGUGAAGUCUAGGAAGAACACAGACCUUCUGACUGCAGCUGUGAAAUCUCAGUCAGAAUGGAGCAGUGCUCAGUUAACCAUAUUACCCCAAGACAACUUUCCUGAGUCUAAUUUCCUGGCUCUUCCUCAGACCUAUUGUGUCAGAACUGAUGGGACUAGGGCCCACUGAUCCAUACAUUUAUAAAGUCUCUCUUACUGGAGACUUUCAUUAAUUAUUUAUUAUUUAGUUAAUUAUUAAUUAGAGACUUACUAGUCAAACUAUGUGAGGUGAGGAGAAAGCCCCGAGUGAAUGACUUCACGAGUCAUUGUCUGUGGCUGAUAUGAGUAUGGCCAUGCCAAGGACCUCAAAGCCUUAGACCCUUGGGGGAAUAGAAACACCUUCCCUCCUGGUCCAAGCAUGGAUAUUGACAGUAUGUGCAGAAAAUGCCCUGCAUAGCUUUCUUCCCUUAGAUAUUUAAGGCCUGAUGACUCCUCUCCUACAGAGACCCCAUCUACCGAUAUACCUAGCUCACUACCUCCUUGAUUUAGCUGUGUAGAGUAGCCUUAUCUUCUUGCUCAACUGUCUAUAUUCUAUCAUGCUGUUCCUGGGGAGCUGCAGCUUCUCCAUCAGCAAGCACGGUCCACCUAAGCUCAACUUUUCUCUGUCCCCUUUCUUGGCUUUCUUCAUUCCUCUACCACCUCGGCCAGGUCCAUCCAAGAGCUGGAUAGCUCUCAGCAAAAGUUACCAAAAGCUUUAGUCAUAUGACUUUCCCCUUCCAGAAAACUUUAUUAAUGUGCCUUUAUUCUGUUUUCAGCUUCUAGUUCAUAAGUCAAGGUUUGAGGCCCUGUAUCUGCCUUUUCCCAAAAGGCACAGAGCUUCUCUGACUCAUAGCCAAUGAUACUGCAGCUUCAUGGAUAUAGCAUAUAGCGUUCCCAAAACAUUGUGUAAAUGUGAUUUUUUGGGGGGGGGGGUUCAUCUUCUUUUUAAAAAAAUCCCAAAUGGCACAAACAUUGGAUACUGUAAUCCUCCCCUUCUUUAUAUUGACACUGUAUAUAACAAAGCAUGUAAAAUAGUCCCAACCUGACUACUUUUUACAGUUCAAUUUUUAAAAACUGAUUUGUUCUCCAAUCAUUUUCUAUCUUCUUCCCCCCCCCCAUAACCUAGUAUUGUAUGCUUAAGUGGUAUACCUUUAAUGGGUUCUGAUCAUCAGAAACUGUUUGUACAGGGGUCGCCUGAGACAAGAGCUGGUGGCAAGAACAGAUGGUCCAGCAAAAGCCACCCAGAGGGAUAUGGUGAAGCUACGUGUGUGACAGCUAUUUCAGAAGUCCAAGAGGAUGGCAUGCUGCACAGAUUAAGUGGGGACUCCGAAACCACACUCUGUGACCUGAACUGAAAUCGAUUGAUUUACCCAGUGAAUUUAAUAGAUGAGCCUUGGCUGCCUUGAAUCGGAACAGAAACCUGCUGCAUCUUCCCUAUUCAUGAGCUCAUUCUCAAAUUCAGGAAGGUUGCCUCGCGCGCAGAGCCAAAGCACAGCUUCCUGGCUGGGAAGCAGAGAGUUUCUCAGUGCUCAGAUGUUAAUGUUUUCUGCGCUCAGGCUAUUUUUAUCCAGCCACACAGACGACAGUGUAAGUACAGAUUUCUUCUGCAGUUUUCAUGAGAGCAGGUGUGGGAUCCUAGGCCAUUGUCCUCAAAGCACACACGUUCGCGCCCUGUAUCCGAACAGUUUAGGAGUGAACGCUACCCUUUGUAUCUAUGAUCAUUCAGCUGUCUGCCUAUUGUUCAAAAGAAGAAAAGAUAUAAAACGUAUCUUCAGGAUAUCUCUCGGGGAUGAGAAUGAGUAAGACGUUAUUCAUUUCAGACGCAUUAAAAAAAAAUCAGAGUAAAAAAAAAAACCUGGAGAUUCACAAAAUAAUCUCUUGAGACAAAUUUGUGCUAGGACACAGAAGUAGGUUCUAUGAAAUCAAGUAGUUAGUAACCUAACUCUUUAAAGUCGUAUGGACUAAUUGAAGAUUCCAGAUCACGUUGUCUUUAUCUUAGCAGUCAAUGCAGAAACACGGAAUGUAUUGAUGUUGAACCUAUACACCAAGAACCGUGGAAAAGCCACCCCAUGUAUAAGAUCCGUGUGGAAUAGUCCAUGAAGUGUGGCAGGAAUAAUGUCCUAUAGAAGAGAGUUUGUCCCCCACCUUUUGGUAUCACAUACCAGAAGGCUUGACUCGACAAUGCAGUACCUAACUAGGGGAUGUUGCUAUGUGUUCCUUGUCUUUAAGUACAGUGCUCUCUUAGUGACUGCCGAUGGACUGUGACUGAGGUGAGGUGUUCAAGGCAGGAAAUAUGCAAAGGUGUCCAAAGUCAUACACCAUACCUGUUAUGUGAAUGCGGUAUUCCUCCUUGAAGAUCUUCUGGAAGAAGGGAAUCUUGAACUGCAUGUGAGGCGUGUGCAACCCGGGGAGAUUCACAUCAACGUCGCCCAUGAAGUGUGGGAAUUCCCAGUCCUGUCAGAAAGUCAGCCCAGACUCUGCAGAAUGUUCAAACACCAAAGAACCCUAGCCUGUUCACUUGAUGUGCAGAUGAAUUUGAGCCCAAGAUGGAGGACAUGAACCCCCAAGAUUGCCAGAAGUCAUUUCUAGUGAAGGUAAAACUACAAAGGCAUUGCUCUUUCAGAGGGAAAUGUCCUGUGAAUCUUGUCAGGAGCCACACUUGAUCUCAGAUUUUAAACCACUGAAUUUAAAAAAAAAAAUCACAAUUAUCCUGUGAAAGAAGAACACACUUAAAUGUAAAGGAAUAUUUGAGAUGGGUUCAUAGACAUGAAAAGACACACUUUCACUUUUAAUAAUGAAAUGAUCACUGUAGGUACAGAACUAUGUUUAGUUGAUGUUUUAAACCAACUCGAAUAUGAAACAUGAUGAACAAACUUUUAGUUUUUUGAGAUUUUAAUAUACUACAUCAAUUGACACUGCUAAGCGCACUCAGAUAAAGCAGCUGGUACAGGGACACUGGGGAAGGUGCCUGGUCCCUUAGGAGCAGCCACAGGUGUUUCCUUUCCUGAGAGACUGAACCACCAGGAAGAAGAGAUCGAAGAAUGGCACUCUGCAUCACCUAGCAGUCUCUAGAUCAGCGGAUCACCUCAGGCUGCUGAUAGGAGAUAAGUAUAUAAGAAGACAAUUAAAUGAUGCCACAUCAUCUGUUCUACCUGCGAGCAAAUUAACCUGGCCUGUCCAUGUUUUUUCAGACAUUAGUAGCACUCAGAGACAUGAUUAAAGGGCUCAGGAAAUCAAUGAAUAAUGUUCCAUGAACUUGGAAUAUUGUGUAAAAAUUAUUACUGGAAACUGGAUUGGAGAUUCUAUCUGCAAACAGUCACUGAGGUUGGAUAUGUGCAUUUCUUCCCCCAUAUACAGAGUGUUAUCUCCAUAUUACAUAAAAGCCGUUACAAAGGAAACAGACCCGGACGGCUAAACUAUAUCUGAUAAAAGCUAUGACUGCAAAUAAAAUGAAUGACAGAGUAUCUUCACUCGUCCUAGAUGAAUGACAAAUAUCAUUAAACCAUCUUUUUAUUUCUUGGUUGCAGAUAGAGAACGCUUCUUGGUAGUAAUUGGGCCACUGUAUUUAAACCAGCUUCUUAGUUGCAAGGCGUUUUCUGACUUCUCCCAUUUAGACCAUCCUCCACGAAACUCAAGUUUUCUGCUGGUGUGAAAUUGCUUUCAGUUUAAAAAGCAAUCUCGGGAGAUUUCUUUUUGGACUGUGGUCAAAAACCUCAUUCACUAAAAAAUAGUUUCUCUAUUACUUCCCAGCUCUUCCUGGAGAUAGAAAGAUGAGUUAAGGAAGUGGGGGUGGAGAGGAGAACAAGAGAGAGGAGGGGAGUUUUGUGGUGUUUACCUGGAGGGAGGCUUUCCUUGUUUUAGGAAGAUAUCAGAGAGAGGCGUUGAUGUGUGAGGAGGGGGAGUGUAGGAAAAGCAGCUGUAUGAGAGUGUUUUAAAGAGAACACAAAAGGGACAAUGUCUCAACUAUGCCAUCUCCCAGUUCUCCCUUUUGCUUCAUCUGUCAUAAAGUCAUGUUUUAUUGUUUCAAAACUCUUUUACUUAAUCCGAUUUCCUAAGUUCAUUUUCCCUUUAUUAUUUUAAUUUUUGUAUUUCCAUCCCCUUUAUUUUAAUGUUUGCAAUUCUCACUCCCCAUUCCUCUUCAGACACCUCAUUUUGAGUCAGCAUACAUCUGGUCUACCUUGGCUUGCAGUGGAAUGGCAAUCAUAGUAAUUGCUACACCAUUUUGAGCUUCUUUUAGUGAAAAUUUUUUAUCUGAAGUUUGUUGAAUCACAAGUAUUUAAACCAGAAGGCAAAGGGAAGAGAGGAGGGCACUUUUUGUCUCCCCAGGUUUCAGAUACUUCAUUUACAGGUCAGUGUUGAACCUAUUGACUUCAUAUACUUCCUGGAAGCAUGAGAUCACGCCUAAGCAGCAACCUCCACAGUGACAGAGACAGAGGAAGAGACACAGACUCCAGUGAGUGGGACAAGGAACAGAUGAAUGACUGCAAGCAAACACUGGGGAUGUCAUAGCAUUGUUACCAUAAAUGCACAGCCAUCGUAAGUACACAUUGCAUAGAGAGGUAUCAGGAGUCACAGCUUGCUUGCCUUGUACGUGACUGUCAAUGCCAUCUUAGCAGGAAAAUAAGAAAACAAAAGCUUGCCGAGUUCUCUUAAAAUAGGAGUUUCCGCAUGGUGACUUCCAGAAAUAACUGAGGUAGGUGUGUGUGUGUGUAUGUAUGCAUGCAUAGAUGAGAAUAUUUGGCUAUGCUAUGAUUGAGUCACUAGUCUCAAGUGACACAAGAGCCACGCAGGAUAGCUUAGACUUCCUGGUUCCAAAGCCUAGAUGCUUUCUGCUCAUCCCGACUGUCUCUAACCGUAGACACAUAGCAUGGCUUCCUGGCUUUAUCUCACUGCUGCUCAUCCCGACUGUCUCUGACCAUAGAAACAUAGCAUGGCUUCCUGGUUUUAUCUCACUGCUGGCCUUUUUAUUGGCUUUGUGUGCCUGGCCUCAGAAUUAACCAUGAUCACUAGCUUAGCUCCUGCUAGAAGCUAGUCAUAGGGGGUUGGAGCUCCUUCCCUCUUUGAGUGGGUGUUAGUAGCAUCACCUCACCCUAGCAUAAGACCAACUUUAAUUUUUUUCUCCAUAAAUAACUUCCCUGGGGACUCUUUCCUUCUCUCUAGACUCCAGUGAGUGGGACAAGGAACAGAUGAAUGACUGCAAGCAAACACUGGGGAUGUCAUAGCAUUGUUACCAUAAAUGCACAGCCAUCGUAAGUACACAUUGCAUAGAGAGGUAUCAGGAGUCACAGCUUGCUUGCCUUGUACGUGACUGUCAAUGACAUCAUUUGAACUAAAUACAUACAGUAGGAGGAGUACAACCAGGUGAAAUGUGUGCAGCUAGCAAGCCCAGGAGCCAGAAGCUCAUCCUCCUGAAGUGGCAUAUUAUUGUUUUGUUCUUUGAAAUUGCUAUCAAUCUGGGGCCUCGGUACUGCUCUCUACUAUUGAAGCCAGCAGCAGCUGCAGAGAUCUCUCAGUGAUGAGAGUGAGUUAGGCACACAGUACCAAGCCGCUCCAGUUCUCAACAGCUCAUGAGGAUGUACCAAGUGUAGACAUGUCUCCAACUCUGCAUCCGUUCACAGACGACAUACGGUUAAUUUUCAUUCGGAUGAGUAUAUUUCCCACGGAAAAUAAAAGAGAUGUGCCAUGACAGUUGUCUACUUUUCUUACUAUGGUCUACUUCUGUCUGUAGCAAUGAAAGUCAGUUCGUGAUCCCUGCUAUUCACAGACCAUAUUUGGGCAGGAUUUAGCAGCAGUACUGUGCAUCUAGAUUACACUGUCUUGGGAACAUUGUGGAGUCAUUUCUCAGCGCUUCCUUGGGGAAUCUCAAGGAAAAGGGCUGGGUGUCAUUCAGAGGAGUUUAAGUUUAAAGCAUUCACUGUUUUUAAUUCCCCAGUGAUAAAAUAAUGAUUCCCUGUGUCUAUUUAGGUAAGAAAUUGACCAAAAAAAUUAAUAACCAUUAUUACUUUAUCAUAACAAACUAAAGCCAGAGUAAAAGCAAAGAAAUGUUCGAUUUUCUGGGUUCAUGAUUGAUCAAUUGGUUUUUGCGGUAAUUAAGGGAAAGAAUAGGUCUUACUAAAAAGUUGAUAAGUAGAAACUUUCCUUGUUUCUGGUUUACUAUUUGACAGUCUUAUUCACAUAUGUAGUGACUUUUGUUCAUUCCUCCCUCGUCCUCUCCCCCCACAGAAGCCCUUCUUUCCAAUAAAUUCUCCUACUUUGAUGGCUGCUUUCAUAACCCACUGAGUUGAGUUCUAGUUGCUUAUGUAAGCACAAAUGGGAAGGAAUUUAUUGGAGAAGGGCAACUUACCAGUGACGAGACCACUAAAGAAAAGACACUUCCCCCCCCCCCCUCAGCAGCCGUUACAUGCACAUAGACCCUUAGGUGAGAAUGAGGCUUCCUGUGUCCCUUGCCCACAUAUGACAGAAUGCUGACAGUCCCACUCUUGUGUGAGUCCUGGGCAGUAAUCAUAGUGCAGUGACUUUGUGAGUGCAGCAGUCAUGUCGUGAUAGAAUUGACAAUAGACUCUAAAAUGUUACUAUAAAACAUCAACUCAUCCUCAAUUUAAUAGUUUUUUAUCUUCCUUUUUAUAGCAUUAUAUUAUCAGGCUUCAGAUGAUUUCAAAGUCAACUUUACAGGCAUAUUUCUUUCUUAGCUCAUCUCUAUUCAUGCAUAUUUCAGAACUGAAUGCAGAAUGUGAAUAACAGGACACCAUUCCACCCAAAACCUCCCCAGCUUGCAAUGUGUCCUUAGCUCUUCUAUGCUUGCCAGUGUCCUAGCAACAGGAUUCCAGAUGACAGCAUGACAGCGAGCAGCCUGAAGAAUUGUUCUUAUGCUUUGGGUGAUAUUUCUGCUUCUUAUUAAGAAGCCAGAGAGCCUGCUAUUUUCCUCUCCAACAAUCCCUUGCUCCUGAUUGGCAAAGUUGCCAUAGGAAUACUUGGCUGAAUUAAUUCUCAGAAGCCUUGUUAUACAGUAGGCUCUGCUUAUUCAUUGGCCUUGCCCAUCAUCCCCACUGAAAGAUAAGCUCCAGGGAGCUUAGGUGACUUUUCCAUGUUUUGAUAACUGCUGUAUUCUCAAUACAUGAAUUCAACUCAGCAUAUGGUAGGAACUCAAGUAUUUGUGUAAAUGGUGAACAAUGAGCUCUGAAAGCUAAAAGGGCAACGUGAUCCCUUUUGUGUUUCUGGGAGUGGAAGCACGGAGUGGAUUUGGGUAUGAGAAAUAGCACAGUGAUCAUUAUGCAUCACUCCAACAUCUGAAACGUUGAAAAACUGGGUGUUUUGUUUUGUCCUUAUCAUCCAGCUUCAGUGAGACCUUGAACAUAGUGACAUGCAGUUUAAGCUAUUUGCAAAGAUCACAAAGAAAAGAAGAAAGUAGAUCAUUAGCGAGGGUAGAUAAGAUGGCUAAUCUUGGCUGUCAAUGAACAUCUGGAGUUGACUAAAACUCAAGUAGUUGGGCACACCUGUGAGGAAUUUUUCUUGAUUGAAUUAUUUAAGGAGGGAUGACCCACCUAUUUUUGGAUCAUUUGAAGUGGGAAGACUCACCCUAAAUCUGGGCCACACCAUCUGGUGGCAGCCAGAUUUAGGACAUAAAAGGACAUGGGAGAAGGAAGCUCUUGUUUUCUGCCUGCUUGCCUACACAGUCUGUAAGGCACUCUAAUAAAUCCUCUUAAUAUACAUAUAUAAAUUACACACACACACACAUGAAUACACAUAUUUUCUAAUGGGUCUUUUCCUCUAGAGAACCCUGACACUACUAUGGUGAAAGGCAAGAAUAAAUACUGAAGAUGUUUGGAGAAUUGAUCAAGGAUGUUUGGAGUCAUCUUUCUUGUCACCCUUUAAAGGAAAGAAGCUAUGAGACUUGUCAAACUAAGUCAGAGAACCAGAGACUAAGUGUAGAAGGCAUUUGAGGUAGAAUUGUGGGAGGGUUAUUUCCCACACUGGGGUCUGGCAGGUAUGUUGAGGCCAAGCUAGAACAUCACAGGUGCUUGGUUGUAACUGUAAAGGAUGCUCAGGAGAGGGGUGGCUGGAAGCUGGCCUCACCUGUCCCCUGAUACCCACCCUCUCCUCAUGUCACAUUCAUAGCUUCUCUUCAUUGUCACUCUUUUUACUUCCUUAAGAGAAAUUGUUCUAUAACCUUAUGAGCUGUGUAAAGUAUUUAAUUGAGGGGGAAUGGAUUUCUUGAUUUUCUGUUUGAGGGAGGUUUUAGCCAACUCCGAGCAGGGAUGCUUCACUGAUCUGUAAAACAAAUCCAUACCCUUUCCUGAAAUGUUUUAAUGAAUGUAACUUUCUCUCUUUUCUUCUUAAAGAAUAAUCCAUUUUAUUUUGCGUGUAUGUUGUUUUCCUGAAUGGAUGGAUGUGUACCACGCAUGUCCCUAGCACCCGUGGAGAUGAGAAGGCGGCAUAGAAUCCCCUGGGAACUAGAGUGCUGAGAACCAAACUGAAGUCCUCUCCAACUGCAGCCAGCACUCUGAGCUUCUAAGCCACCUCUCCAGCCCAGAAUGUGAUGUUUUUCAUGUGUUUCUAUUUCCAAAUACCCCCAAACUAGAAAAAUCGUUGUCUCCUAAAUGAUCGAUCAAGUUAACCACAAGGGUGUGGUUUGUGAUCGUUUUCUUCCUUCAUGAACUGUGUUUUUGUUUACUUUCUCUCAGAAGUCCACACACUUCCCCCAGCUAAUUCUAAAGAGAGCAUACAUCAGCGAGUUGUAAGUAUUCGUUUAUUACCUCUAAAAACACCAAUCUAGCCCAGAGCAGGUCUGAAAAGUUAACUACACUCUAUUACUUUUAAGAGAACUUGCCUCAAGGCUGUAGUGAGGAAGCAGUAGGUUUUUUACAAACAAGCUUCAGUACAUCUAGACCCUGAAAACAUCAUUCCUUUACACUCCAAACUGGAAGCAAACCGAUGCCCUGCCCUGGCAGAUGGAUGUGAGGAAGGACAAAUAAAAGCCGGUCUUAAAAGUGUUUACACUAAUGGAAAUGCAUCAUGUGGCCUCUAGGAAUAAUGGGAAAUCAAUAACCCUGACUGGGGCAACACAGUUCAGGAGCAGGAGGGAGGGAGUGCUUAACAUCUUAGAGACUCCUGGGGAAAGAAGAGGAGAGCGCAAUGGCUGGCUAAGAAGACAGCAGUGAGAGGUAGCGCUGUAUUCAAAGAAACACAGCAAUGGCUCAUUUCAGCUUUACCUUCCAAGGUCUGUCAAUCCCAACCUACUUAGCACUUGCUCUUUCUAAAGAUUCACAUAUUUUUAUUUUGUGUGUUAUUGUUUUGUCUCCCUGUUUGUGUUAUUAUGUGCAUACCUUGUACCCAUGGAAACCAGAAAAGGGAGUAGGACCCCACUGAAAUGGAGUUAAAGAUGUAAGCCAGCAUGUGUGUGCUAGAAAUUGAACCUGGAUCAUAUGGAAAAGCAGCCAGUGCUCUUGACUGCUGAGUCAUGUCUCCAGCCCUUACUUGGCAUGCCUUAAAAGAGUGAAUGUUAACUGUGUGUUUUUGCUUGCCCGAUACUCAAAAGAAUUCCCUUUCCACAGAAAGAAUGAAGUCCAGUGGAAGAAAUUCAUUAGAGCAUUUGUACUGUUUUCAGACACUGGCUGUAGGACACAGCACAGUCCCCUGAUCAUUCUCUGCUCUAUUGUUUUGGGUACAAAUGUCACUGCUGCAACCUGGCUGGCUGUGCACAUGCUGCCAGCAAUGGUGACAUUCAAUUGUCUGAAUGGCUGAUUUCUUCUGUGAGCUAUAUGGGAGAAUUAAUUGCUCACUGAUACAAAGUAGCUGUUAUUGUCCUUAGUAAAUUUUAAAUUUAAUACUGUGGUCAUUUA